AGGUCUUUUCUAAUUAACUCCGUCUCUUUAAAACACACUCCGUUACCAUCUGUUCUCUCCUUUUUCUCUCUGUCGUCUCUCUCUCUCUCUCUCUCUCUAAAAAUAGGGAUCGAAUGCGAAAGUCUCUGUUUCGAGUGGAUUAUGAAGCCUCUCUUUUUAGGUCGCUGAUGAGCUAAUGAUACCAAUAUUAAAAUUUGCUGGCUUGCCGAAUCUUUGAUGAAACUCUGUGAACUGAUGUUUCGGGAAUUUGUGGGGAUUUGAAAUCAUGAAGAUAUUUAUGAGUUGUUUAUUUGGUUUUGUCGAUUGAGGGCACGGAGGUCUGCAAUUAUAUAUUUUUUUGCAUCUGAGUUAUUGUUUGAUUGCUCAAUAAAGAUGUUUGUCGUCAGCCUUUAGCAGUUGUGGUGCUGGGAUUUGCAAAUCACAAGCCCAGAAGCCAGAAAAACAGUGAAGGAAAACAGAAUAUGGGGGAAGCUCUUCUAACGACUUUAUCUAUGGAAAAUUAUCACCCAUCUACACUUCUUUCUAUGGACUCGGGCUCUCUUACACAUGAUGAUUUGGAGAGGGAGAUGAAUCGGUCUGUCAUUCUUUCAAGACCGCCUGAUAUCAAUCUCCCGUUGUCGUCUGAGCCUAGUCCACCUCCUCCCCUUACUUGGAAUGAUCCAUGCGACAUCUUGGAUGUAGGUCUUGGGCCUCAGAUUUAUGAGGCUGAGACAAUUGUCAGUAUUCCAAAAGUUGUGAAGAAAUGCACAAAGCGCCUGGAUAGCAUUUGGGGUGCCUGGCUCUUCUUUAGCUUCUAUUUCAAGCCUGUUUUGAAUGAGAAGUCGAAAUGCAAAAUAAUCAGGGAUAGUAAUGGUGUUUCUGGGUUUGAGAAAUCAGAUUUGCAGCUAGAUGCUUUUUUAGUUCAGCAUGACAUGGAGAACAUGUACAUGUGGGUGUUCAAGGAAAGGCCUGAAAAUGCUUUGGGUAAAAUGCAACUGAGGAGCUACAUGAAUGGGCAUUCUCGCCAAGGGGAGCCCCCAUUUCCAUUCAGUGUUGACAGGGGCUUUGUCCGGUCUCAUAGAAUGCAGAGGAAGCAUUAUAGGGGUCUCUCCAACCCUCAAUGCGUUCAUGGUAUUGAAGUUGUUCGAUCACCCAGUCUCAUGAAUCUUGACGAUGAAGAGCGGAAGAGGUGGGUGGAGCUUACAGGCCGAGACAUCAAUUUCUCCAUUCCUCCAGAGGCAAGUGAUUUUGGCUCAUGGAGGAACCUUCCAAGCACAGAAUUUGAGCUUGAGCGGCCCCCACCUGCAGUAAAGAGUAAUGGAAAUGCCCACCCAAGAAAGUUGCUUAAUGGUACUGGUUUGAACCUGUCUACUCAGUCCUCAGACCAUGGCAAUGGAGAAGGCAUUGACUUGUCUCCUAUGAGCAACAAGCGGAAGCAUGGCAGUGAUGAUGAAUUUUUGCAUUCUGUUGAUAUGAAUAUCCACCCAGUUGAGCGAACAUGGUUAAACGAGUUCAGUGGGGUAAUGAAGAAUGUAAAUGGGCCUGUUACAGCAGCAAAAACAAUAUACGAGGAUGAUAAAGCUUUUUUAGUCAUCGUCAGCUUGCCCUUUGCAGAUCUUCAAAGGGUGAAAGUUACUUGGAGGAAUACUAAAUCGCAUGGUAUUGUUAAGAUAUCUUGUAUAAGUACAGCAUGCAUGCCAUUUAUUAAGCGGCAUGAUAGGACAUUUAAGCUAACAGAUCCAACUCCAGAGCACUGCCCUCCUGGGGAAUUCAUUAGGGAAAUUCCCCUCCCAAACCUCAUUCCAGAAGAUGCGAAGCUGGAAGCAUACCGUGAUGAGACCGGAACAGUGCUUGAAAUUAUUGUGCCCAAGCAUCGUGUAGGACCAGAAGAACAUGAAGUUCGUGUAUGCCUUCGCCCCUCUCCUUGGAGUGAAUGAGCAUUUGUCAAUCCGAAAGAGACAUUGGUUUGAAGAUGUAAGGACGGUUAUAGCGGGGUGGAAGGUAAGCUCACUCGUAGGAAUCAUAAGUCGUAACUUCUUGCUUAUUGCAGAAGGGUUGCUGCCAGUCCUCCUAAAGGAGAAUGGGUGAAGCUAUCAUUUUCUCUCCAGGGGCUGCAUGAACUGUGGUUGUUCCUAACUUGUUUUGUCUGUCAGUUUAAGAUGAGGCGUAUGCAAGAUUAGACGGCCUGGUUAUUUUGUUCAGUAACAGUUUUCAUGUCGUAAAGUGAUCCAUUCCCAUACCAAGUAAGAAGUGGGAACUCGUUUGUUAUGCUGUGUGGCUCAAAGCGACAAUUCACACCCUCGUUGAUGACAGCUCGUCUGUGAAUUUUUCCUCCACUGGGAAGCUUGGCUGUUCCUUUAUGUGUAGAUAUUUUCUGUUACUGGCCUAUUCACGUGUAUAUUUUCUGUGAGUAUAUCCGCAGUUCUUUA